UACGGAGGGUGCUAACGUUGCUCGGAAUCAUUGGGCGUAAAGCGCACGUAGGCGGUCUCGUUAGUUGGAUGUGAAAGCCCUGGGCUUAACCCAGGAAGUGCACCCAAAACUGCGAGACUCGAGUUCCGGAGGGGGUUGGAGAAUUCCCGGUGGAGAGGUGAAAUUCGUAGAUAUCGGGAGGAAUACCAGUGGCGAAGGCGCCGACCUGGCCGGACACUGACGCUGAGGUGCGAAAGCGUGGGGAGCAAACAGG
rnacentral:rRNA from 1 species